rnacentral:rRNA from 1 species
UACGUAGGUGGCAAGCGUUGUCCGGAUUUACUGGCGUAAAGGGCGUGCAGGCGGUUUGUUAAGUCUAGGGUGAAAGCUCCCGGCUCAACUGGGAGAGGUCCUUGGAUACUGGCAGACUUGAGGAGGGUAGAGGAGAGUGGAAUUCCCGGUGUAGUGGUGAUAUGCGUAGAUAUCAGGAGGAACACCGGUGGCGAAGGCGGGUCUCUGGGCCGAUACUGACGCUGAGGAGCGAAAGCGUGGGAGCGAACAGG